rnacentral:rRNA from 1 species
UACGUAGGGUGCGAGCGUUAAUCGGAAUUACUGGGCGUAAAGCGCGCGCAGGCGGCUUCCUAAGUCUGUCGGUCAAAUGCCGGGGCUCAACCCCGAGCGUGCCGGGGAUACUGGGAGGCUGGAGACAGGUAGAGGCAAGCGGAAUUCCGGGUGUAGCGGUGGAAUGCGUAGAGAUCCGGAAGAACACCGGAGGCGAAGGCGGCUUGCUGGACCGGCAUUGACGCUGAGGCGCGAAAGCUAGGGGAGCAAACGGG